rnacentral:rRNA from 1 species
UUGAUCCUGGCUCAGAAUCAACGCUGGCGGCGUGCCUAACACAUGCAAGUCGAACGCGAAAGUCCCGCAAGGGAUCAGUAGAGUGGCAAACGGGUGAGUUACACGUGGGUGACCUGCCUUCGAGUGGGGGAUAACGUCCCGAAAGGGACUCUAAUACCGCAUGACAUCCUGCCUUUGAAGAGGUGGAGCUUAAAGCUGGUGAUCGCAAGACCUAGCGCUUGAAGAGGGGCCCGCGCCUGAUUAGCUAGUUGGUGAGGUAACGGCUCACCAAGGCAACGAUCAGUAUCCGGCCUGAGAGGUCGGACGGACACACUGGGACUGAGACACGGCCCAGACUCCUACGGGAGGCUGCAGUGGGGAAUUGUUCGCAAUGGGCGCAAGCCUGACGACGCAACGCCGUGUGGAGGAUGAAGACCUUCGGGUCGUAAACUCCUUUCGAUCGAGACGAAUGGCCCCUGGGCUAAUCACCAGGGGAGUGACGGUACCGAGAGAAGAAGCCUCGGCUAACUCCGUGCCAGCAGCCGCGGUAAUAAGGU